rnacentral:rRNA from 1 species
AACCUGAGAGUUUGAUCCUGGCUCAGAACGAACGCUGGCGGCAUGCCUAACACAUGCAAGUCGAACGAAGGCUUCGGCCUUAGUGGCGCACGGGUGAGUAACACGUGGGAACCUGCCUU